rnacentral:rRNA from 1 species
AUGUCGAUGUCCAGUUCAGCCUCUCGCCCCUCAUGGCCGCGGUAUGGUCUAGUGCCGAUGACCAGGUGUCCGGACUGCCCACGCACCACGCCAUUGAAGCGUUUGACAACCAAGUUGGGGGACAAUGGAAACUACGGGCACGAAUUUGUGAAAUGCGAGAGCAGACCAGAGGCGGCCAAGAAUCUGAAUAAAUGCAAGCAUUUUUAG